CGGGUGAGUAACGCGUGGAAAACCUGCCGUAUACUGGGGGAUAACACUUAGAAAUAGGUGCUAAUACCGCAUAAGCGCACAGCUUCGCAUGAAGUGGUGUGAAAAACUCUGGUGGUAUACGAUGGUUCCGCGUCUGAUUAGCUUGUUGGUGGGGUAAUGGCUCACCAAGGCGACGAUCAGUAGCCGGACUGAGAGGUUGGCCGGCCACAUUGGGACUGAGACACGGCCCAGACUCCUACGGAAGGCAGCAG
rnacentral:rRNA from 1 species